rnacentral:sRNA from 1 species
UGUUCUGCUCCCCCCGAAUUAUACGCCUACAACCUCGACUAUCAAGGCCCAUCCAUCCCUGUUCCUGGACGUUACAUGGUUUAGUCCUAGUACCUUGAAAGUCGUUGGGAGGGUUUUGGGGUCGUCUCUGUGAGGACCGUAGGAAAAUCAGAGUCGCCUUCAAUGAAGUGCUGUUGUACGCGUGUCCAUCCGCCCUUGUUAAUGAGAUAAUUAUUAUGGUUGAUCGUAAAUAGUGGACUUUACCACAACGACGCGCUGCCGUGGGAUUUACGCUUAAAAAAUAUAAACUAUGACGAGGAAACAACAAAUGGUAUUUGUGAUUAACUCUCGACCUGAGCCAAUUCAACCGAAUAUUCCUCGUUGUCUGCCUUCCGAUUCUGAGAGGCACAGAUAUAUAUUCAACUAUUCAGCAAACCGCAGUCUUCGAGGACUACGAUCGUGAGGAGCGGGAUGACUACUACUGCUAAUGGAGGAGGUGGGAACUCGGAAAGGAUGUGUGGCUUCUCUGGCUUUCGUUUUCUUUUAGCUGAUCAGUCAACAGCGGCUUUUCUUGGCCAAUGUUGAAUUCUCCCAUGCGGAGCAACCUUAGCUGACAUUGUUAGCCACUGCAUCCACCUCUUACCUUAUAGAACUACAAUUCGCGUUACUUUCUUCGCCG